AAAUAGUUGUCCAUGAAGCAGUAAAAGUAACAACAUCAACAGGUUUAGCACUAUUCCCCUACCAUUGAUUUUAGAGAAAAGCGAAGCGAAACAAAAAUUUAUUCAAUACAGGCAUCAACUUACAUGCAAAACUAAUUUAAUGUACAAAACUCAUUCUAAACUCCUCCCACAUUCAUGAAUCCAAAUAAAACCUUGCAAAACACACAUUUGCUAGACGUGCACCCUUCCUGACCCAUUGCAACUUCUCCGAACGUCAGAAGUUCAUCAUAAAUUUGACAACUCAGAAGGAACAAAUGGAAAACCAACAAAAAUAUUGAUGUCUAAUUAAUUCAAUGUGUUUUUGAGAAUUAUAUUGUUAGUUCGAGGCAUCUCAACAUCUAAGCAAACAAUUCUAGUUGCAACUCAUCAUCACUGAAUGAUUUAACAGAGAAGGUACGAAGGGGACAAAUUGCCCCAUGAUUAGAUUAGAUUGAACAUACAACAUUAAUUUUCCCUUGAACAGGAGGAAAAAAAAUGUUAAAUAAAUUGUAAUGAGGGGGAUUAAAAGGAGGAAUUGUAGUAUUUUUUUAACCUUUUUUCUAUUUUUUUUUUUGGGAAGAGGGGGGGGGGGGUGGCGGGCCGUACUCCACUUGCUAAGAUCAGAAUCUGAAUUGGGGAUCCACGUCCAUUGCCCAAGCAAACUUUGCCAGAAGAGAUUUGUUGAAUAUCUUUUCAAUUGGAACUUCAUGUCGCUUGCACCAUGCUACUGUGAUCCUAGGAUCAAGGUAAUUGAUCUUGGACGUCCCUAAAGCCACGGUUUUCAGAUCCUCUUUGGUCUUCAUAGCCAAUUCCAUUUUCUCAAUCUUCUGAUUGGUUGAUGCUAUCUUUUUCUCUAUGGCUUCGGGAGUGAGGUUCCUCUUUCGCUUUCCAGCUGCAUCCUUUAAUGGAGGCUUCCCCUUCUUGGCCCUAUCCAAAUCAAUUUUCAGCUCUUUUAGAGCGGCCUUAAGUUCCUCAAUUUUCUCAGUCAACCUUGACAUUUGCGCACCAUGAGAUUUUGAGAUAGUACGCUGGUGAUUACAAAUGAUUGCAACCUCUUUGUUUGCUUGUUGAUAGAUAACAACUUUUUCGGUGACAUCCCCAUCUUCAGUUUCCUCAUACAACUUUUCAUCCAAUGUGAUUGAUGCAUUAUAUGUACGAAAAACUUUUGCUGUAAGGCCAGGCAUGAGUUCCUUCAGGUGAGCAUUCAGUUUAGUUGUAUCCAGCUUGUCAAAAAGAUCAUCAGUUUGCCUUUUCCCCUUUUGGAAAGUUCCAAUUGCGUCAUAUACCUCAGGCUUAACCUCAACCGUGUUUUCAUAUCGAAUUGAAUCUUUACCAAGGAAGUCGAACUUCAAAUUAAAACUUCCAGGAAUACACUCUACAUUUGCUACUUUUAACGUACAACAACCAACAGUAUCGGCUUCAUCAUCAUCCUUCUCAUUACCCGCCCUAAGAGCUAGCUUAUCAAUAAGAUAGGUAGCAACUGCUAUUUGCUUCUUUGCAAUAUCUUUACUCUUAAAAUCCUUUUGGUAAGCUGCUCUGAUGUUGUGUAUGUAGUCCUUCAACUUUCUUGCCUUCUCAUAUUUCUCCUUGUCACUUUGCCCCUUCAAGGAACUGCUGGCUGCCAAGAAAACAUACUUGAAUUCUUUCGGAUUGAUUGGAUCAUUCCAGAAAGCCAACCAUGUAACAGUAUUAUCAUGCUUCACUUCUUUCCAACUUUCACCAGGAAUAGGGCAUUCAGGGAUUGGGGAAUCCUUUCCAAUAUUUAUGGUGAUAUCACUUGGACGGAUGCGCUUUUUCAGCAUUCCCAUCUGAUAAGCAUCAACAAUUAAUAAGCAAUUCAAACUUUUUUUCUUGAAAAACUGUACUCACAAACUAGUAUAAAUUCAGUUAAAGCCACCACAUCUCAAAUAAAAUAUUGCAAAAAGCUCUAUAUUAUUGCUGUUGGCAAGGAAGAUGUCACUAUAACCUUUGGAUGCUCUCCCCGGCCUCGAAACAGCCCAGGUGGUUCAACUCUGAAAUUUCCAACCUUCUCUUUGACACCAUCGACAAUAGCCCACAUGUACUUCUCCUCUUGCUUCAACUUCUCUUCUUUCGAGGCCUUCUUCUCCUACAUGAACGGUAAUAUUGAUUAUCAAAGAUAUAUAAUCUGAAAGAUUCUCUGAUAGAACAAGACAGAAACAAACAUAUUGAUUUUUCAAUACUAAAGUAAUAACAGCCAAAAAUUGUGCAGUUCUGGGAGAUACUUAAACAUAGAAUGACUGGCUUAAAGAAUACAGAUUGAGGCUGGAGAAAUUCAUUGUUGCCAUAACAAAAAUGACAGCAUACACCAAGAAUGGCUAAUCAAGUUCCCUGGUGAGUGUAAUGAGAGUCUUAGCUCACUGACAAAAUUUAUCAUGUCUUGAAUGUCAAUUCUAAAGAGUGCCAUUUGUACAGCAACAUACUUCUGUACUCAUUUGUUUUUUCUUCUCCUUCUCCCACUGAUGCCAUUCGUAUAUUGGGGUGAAAUCACAGUCCUCCAAUUUCUGUAUUACAUGGCUCUUCCCCAAUAAUUUUCGCCAAUCAGUCCAGAAGUUCUCAAGAAAUUUUCCUUUUUGCAUGUAGUCUGUAUCUUUCAUUACUGCAAACAUUGUUGCAACCUCCUCUUGUUCAGGAGUCAAAUCAACUGGCUGCCCCUUGUAGAGAAUCUUAAUGCCAUGAGGCUGGUAUGGAGGCGGGAAAAUGACACCAUUAUGAACCAAGGUAGUCCAUUUUUUCUGCCCAUCAGUGGAGCUAGGUUGCAUUUUUGUUGACUUCGAAUAUUUUGCAUUUUUAAUUUGUUUCUUGUUCUUCUUAUUUUUCUUCUCGGAUGACGAAGAAGCAACUUUUGUUGCUUUUUGCUUGGAAGAUGAUAAUUUAUUAUCUGAGGAGCCUAUCUUCUUUUUCUGACUAAGAACAACAUUGUCACAUUUAUCAUCAUCUACCUUCUGUUCUGCUUUGACUGUCACUUGCUUAACUUUUGUUGUUGUAGAUACAUCAGAAAGCUUAGGCCUUUUAGAAGAAGACUGAUCUGAUGAAUUAGCCUUAUCUAUAGGUCUCUUAGUUGGCAUCUGAGACGUUUUCUGUUGCUUGUCCUUUACAGUGGAACCAUUCUCUUGAAUUUUCGAAGCCAAAGGUUUCUUCAAACUAAAAUUGUUGGGCUUACUACCUGAUGUCCCUUCAUUGGCCUUUGUUAUGUACUUCUUGGAUAAAGGGGUGUUAUCAUCAUCUGAAUCUUCAUCUUUGACAAAAUUAGGUGCAUUUCUAUUGGUUCCCUUAAUUCUAGAACUCAAUGGUAAAUCAUCCUCAGAAUCAUCUUCAGCACUAUUUGAUUUAGUUUCACGUUUAACAGACUUGAUAUCCUCCACAACAACAUUAGAUGCACUAUGUUUAGAUGCCUGUUUCAAGUGUUCAUCUAAAUAACUUGAUGCUUUUGAAUUUGCCACCGGUGACUUCAUUGGAGAUGCUGUUGCAGAAGAAGUUGAUGCUUUAGGACUUCCUAUUGGAGAUUUCACUGGUGAUGCCUUGGAAGACGGAACAGUGUUUUUACCCUUCUGGACAUUUAAGCUUUGACAAUUGGAGUUCUGUGAUGAUGAUAGGGGUUUCUUUAUUUCUGUGUUAAAUUGAUUUUGCUUAGAAGUUGAGUUGCUACCCCUUUUAAAAACUAUGGGCCCAUCAUCAUCAUCAUCAUCAAAAUCUAUUUCAUUAUCAAAUCCAUUUGGGAGCUUCUUGCCCUUACUACUCAUGCCAAUGUCUUCAUCCAUGGCAACCACUAACUCCCUCAUUUAAUUCAAAAUCUGAAAAGAAUAAGCAUGCGUAGACAUUAGUGAUAAGGCCAUGAUUCCAUGAACUGUGAAUCCUAACAAAGUAAUAAAAAAUCUCACCCAAAAACGCAAAAUAAACCAACUCAGAGUCACACCUAACAAGUAUUAUUAAAAAUAAAUGAAAUUCCACAUAAAGCAACAGGCUUUUACAUGGUUUAACAAAAACUACCGAAAAGCAAAGAAAAUUAGAGAAAGAAUAGAAACUCAGAAUCUUAAACUCAUAAUGACUUGCAUAGAAUGUAGUUCCCAGUAUAGAGAAAGCCGAAGACCCCUAAACCCCAAACCUAAACUCCUUUCUGUAGAUGCAAAUUUUGGGGUUUUAUAGGCUAAUUUGAGGGCUAAUAAACUCUUUCGUAAACAAUGUAUGUAGCAUUUCUGGUGUUUUGCCUCAACACAGGAAGUGUGAAGAACCGAGUCUCUGCAUGUCAUCAAAGCAAGCGAAGCAGAGAAGACGAUGAAAGGGCAGAGUCAGA
rnacentral:misc_RNA from 1 species